rnacentral:rRNA from 1 species
AGUGAACGCUGGCGGUAGGCCUAACACAUGCAAGUCGAACGGCAGCACAGUAAGAGCUUGCUCUUACGGGUGGCGAGUGGCGGACGGGUGAGGAAUACAUCGGAAUCUACUUUUUCGUGGGGGAUAACGUAGGGAAACUUACGCUAAUACCGCAUACGACCUACGGGUGAAAGCAGGGGAUCUUCGGACCUUGCGCGAUUGAAUGAGCCGAUGGCGGAUUAGCUAGUUGGCGGGCUAAAGGCCCACCAAGGCGACGAUCCGUAGCUGGUCUGAGAGGAUGAUCAGCCACACUGGAACUGAGACACGGUCCAGACUCCUACGGGAGGCCGCAGUGGGGAAUAUUGGACAAUGGGCGCAAGCCUGAUCCAGCCAUACCGCGUGGGUGAAGAAGGCCUUCGGGUUGUAAAGCCCUUUUGUUGGGAAAGAAAAGCAGCAGGUUAAUACCCCGCUGUUCUGACGGUACCCAAAGAAUAAGCACCGGCUAACUUCGUG